rnacentral:rRNA from 1 species
UACGUAGGGGGCAAGCGUUGUCCGGAAUCAUUGGGCGUAAAGCGCGUGUAGGCGGCCACGUUAGUCCGCUCUGAAAGCCCGGGGCUCAACCCCGGGAGGCGGGUGGAUACUGCGUGGCUCGAGUCCGGAAGAGGCGAGUGGAAUUCCUGGUGUAGCGGUGAAAUGCGCAGAUAUCAGGGGGAACACCAAUGGCGAAGGCAGCUCGCUGGGACGUGACUGACGCUGAGACGCGAAAGCGUGGGGAGCAAACAGG